AUUGAACGCUGGCGGCAUGCCUAACACAUGCAAGUCGAACGGCAGCAUGAAUAGGGGUAACCUUAUUUGAUGGCGAGUGGCGGACGGGUGAGUAAUAUGUAGGAAUCUACCUAGAGGAGGGGGAUAACUUGGGGAAACCCAAGCUAAUACCACAUAAGCCCUACGGGGGAAAGCAGGGGACCGCAAGGCCUUGCGCCUUAUGAUGAGCCUACAUCGGAUUAGCUAGUUGGUGGGGUAAAGGCCUACCAAGGCGACGAUCCGUAGCUGGUCUGAGAGGAUGAUCAGCCACACUGGGACUGAGACACGGCCCAGACUCCUACGGGAGGCAGCAGUGGGGAAUAUUGGACAAUGGGCGAAAGCCUGAUCCAGCAAUGCCGCGUGUGUGUAGAAGGCCUUAGGGUUGUAAAGCACUUUCAGUAGGGAGGAAGGGUGUAACGCUAAUAUCGUUGCACAUUGACGUUACCUACAGAAGAAGCACCGGCUAACUCUGUGCCAGCAGCCGCGGUAA
rnacentral:rRNA from 1 species